rnacentral:rRNA from 1 species
AGCAGUCAGAGCCCCUUCGUGGGGUGAUGGCGUACCUUUGGUAUAAUGGUUCAGCGACUUACGUUGUGUGGCGAGCUUAACCGUCUAGGGGAGGCGAAGGGAAACCGAGUCUGAAUAGGGCGCACAGUCGCACGGCGUAGACCCGAAACCGGGUGAUCUAUCCAUGCCCAGGGUGAAGGUCCGGUAACACGGACUGGAGGCCCGAACCCACUCCUGUUGCAAAAGUAGGGGAUGAGGUGUGGAUAGGAGUGAAAAGCUAAUCGAACCCGGAGAUAGCUGGUUCUCCUCGAAAGCUAUUUAGGUAGCGCCUCGUGUAUCACUGUUGGGGGUAGAGCACUGUUAUGGCUAGCGGGUCAUUGCGACUUAGCAAACCAUUGCAAACUCCGAAUACCAACACGUGCGAGCACGGGAGACACACGGCGGGUGCUAACGUCCGUCGUGAAAAGGGAAACAACCCAGACCCGCAGCUAAGGUCCCAAAGUCAUGGCUAAGUGGUGAACGAAGUGGGAAGGCAUAGACAGCCAGGAGGUUGGCUUAGAAGCAGCCACC